rnacentral:rRNA from 1 species
GAUGAACGCUGGCGGCGUGCCUAACACAUGCAAGUCGAACGGAGUCGUUUUGGAAAUCUCUUCGGAGAUGGAAUUCUCGACUUAGUGGCGGACGGGUGAGUAACGCGUGAGCAAUCUGCCUUUAAAAGGGGGAUAACAGUCGGAAACGGCUGCUAAUACCGCAUAAAGCAUUAAAUUCGCAUGUUUUUGAUGCCAAAGGAGCAAUCCGCUUUUAGAUGAGCUCGCGUCUGAUUAGCUAGUUGGCGGGGUAACGGCCCACCAAGGCGACGAUCAGUAGCCGGACUGAGAGGUUGAACGGCCACAUUGGGACUGAGACACGGCCCAGACUCCUACGGGAGGCAGCAGUGGGGAAUAUUGCGCAAUGGGGGAAACUCUGACGCAGCAACGCCGCGUGAUUGAAGAAGGCCUUCGGGUUGUAAAGAUCUUUAAUCAGGGACGAAACAAAUGACGGUACCUGAAGAAUAAGCUCCGGCUAACUACGUG